ACAGGCGUGGCGGCGCCUCGUCCGCUCGACGCCGAGCCCCGGCUUCUCUCUGCCAGAGCUGAGGGCUGCCGGGCCCACUGCUCCCCGAGCUCUGCCUUGGGUGGAAGUCUCGAGGGUGGCGGUGGCAGCGGACCCCAGGUCCCAGCUGGAGCGGGAUCAGUCGGUGUUAGGGCUUGAGGAAGGGAAAAACCUGUCUGUCCAGGGAGCGGGGGCACACGCGGUGUGAGCAGGAGGCUGCAGCAACGAGGACUUUUCAUGUUCCUCUUGGGAUGUGGAGGCUUAUAGACGGAGGUGAUGGGGGAGUAGGAGGUUUGAUUUUUUUUUUUUUCCUAUAUUUUUAUCCUAUGAGAUUGAAUUGGUGACCAGUCUCAGAUUUUGAGACUGAAGUAAACUUGUGAAGGCUUAGAAGUGCAGGAUCUGUAUACUUGUUUCCUGACUGGCAGUAGGGAUUUCUUCUUCAGUUCUUUUCUUGCUGCUGUACUGUUACAGGUGUUUCUUCUAAACUGAGACAUAUGAAAAGGUGUUGUCAUUUACUCCUCAUGUGCUGUCUUUUACAAGUCCUGUGUCUGCUGGAUUUACAUGGUCAUUUGCUAAUAAGUCUGACAUUUGUUUUACUACUUCUUUACUUACCUCUUUUCCUUUUUGAGCUUUGGUUUCAGAAAUGGGUAGGUUGUCAGUUGCUGCUUAGUCUGAACUCUUAAUACUCUUUCCAGCUGUGAUAUAAUAGACCAGCAAGUUUUCUAAUAGGUUAAUAUUUGCACUGUGCCUUGGAAAGGCUGAGGUACGUGGGGCUUUGGGUAGGUACAUCUCAAAGCAUUUGUCCCAUCAGAUGCUGCUAGACAGUUGUUUGAGGAUUUUAUUUGGUUUUUAAUGGUAACUUGAGUUUAUUUUAUCCUUUAGUUGCUCUUUGCAACAUUGUAGCAUCUCAUAUCACUUAAUAUUAAAGUUGGCAUUUGAACUUUAUUUCUAGGAAUGAAUUAUUCUUAAAAUAAGUAAUGUGUUAGGAGGCCAGUUGGUUACUCUUCAGUGUGUGGGCUUGGGAAAUUUGAUUUCAGAUAUUUUUGUUUCUCUUUUUAAGUACUGAAUUCUGGCCUUUGCCACUGAAUUUUCAUGUUAAUUUACAGUGUGGUCUAAAUGCUUGUGUUGUUUCAAAGAGUGGCCCUUUUAUGGUUCUUGUUCAUCUCAAGCUUUGGGUUGCUCUACAUGAAUAGUGUGCUGGCUUUUUUUUUGUGUGUGGUGUUUUUUGUUGUUUUUUUUAAAGUUAGUGUGCAUAGCCAGACAGAUUUGAGUGUUACCAAAAUCCAAAAGAAACCCGUUGAAACAUUUAAAAGAAAAUGUUUGUGUACUUGAUGCUAAAUAAAGAAGGCCUUGAAUUGAGUAUACACUGAUAAAGUUUCUGCUCUGCAGUUGGAAGAUACUACAGUUUGAUUCAUUUAGGAGGCCUGAUUACAGCUGGUUGGGUGCUUAUCUUGUUUUGGCUCUGUUAACUUUGAUAGGUUGAUUUUAUUUUUUUGUGUUAUUUUUUUCCCCCUUAAAUUUUGGAAGUGGGAGUUCUGGAAGAGACUUAAAUGUGUGAAGUUUUUGCACUUGAUUUUGCUCCUGUAUUGCUCUAGUACCCACCUCCAGUAAAGGGCCACAAGACUGUAGAGCACAGGUCUGGUGAAGUUCAGGUAAAGGGUGUAGGAAUGGCCACUGUGGCUUUACUUGCAGGAGAACACUGAAGGCUAUUAAGCCACUAUGCAUUUGUCACAAGUCUGUCCCUGAUCUGAAGCAUGUGUUAUUGCUAGAAAUGGUCAUCACAGAGACUCUUGGUGUUUUAUUCUGGUAGUGCUGAGCUAAUAUACCAGCAUGGUGCAAUGGCACAGGGAAAUGAGGGGAGGAAGAGUUGUGUCUCUCUGAGCGUAACAUAGAGCAGAGGUGCUGGCUGUUGCUGCUAGAUACCAUUUGCCAACUUUUUCUUUCCCUUAAGAGAAGUUACUUGUGCUGGCCAAAUGCCACCUGAGAAGUUGUAUUCUCUCCAGAUAUGUUGUGCAGAUAAAGAUACUUCACUCCUCCACAAAAAAAAAAAAAAAAAAAUUCAGCUGUAUUUGUUACAGUCAUUAUUUUUUCUGUGGUUGAAUAUUGGGGUCAACACAUUCCCUGGCUGGUUUUCCAGGCUCACUGAGACUGCAUGAUAUGGAAACCAUGCCCCAUUGUAGCUAUUACCCUGCUUGGGGCAUUUGCCUAUCAGGACAGAGCUUUGGCAGGGUACAGACUUUCUUUCAACACUUCUGGAGUUCAUUUGUGAAGAUUGAAAGUAACCAGUGUAUUGAGCAAUACAAGUGUUGUCUCCCUGAAUCCAGACUGAGAUUCAUUUGUCGCUCUUAGCGAAUGGAUUGGCCGUUGCAACAAGCUGUCUAAAGGUAGUGGGGAGCCUCUCCAUACUUGAUGCUGCAAUUCAAGGCCAGAAACUUUUCUGAAAGAUGUUCAAGCUUUUGGGCUCAAUUCAGCAGUAAUGAAGUGGAAACUUUACAGCCAGCAUUACAUGAGGUUCAGACAGGAUAGUCCAGUGGGCUUUUUGACUUCAAGUUUUAUGUGUUGAUGCUGUUACAGCCAAGAUACCUUCUUCGUUUUCUGCAAAGUGCCACACCAUCUCAGGUGUACCUGUCCUGGUCUGAGUACAUGGUUUGGUGAGCAACUGAGCUGACCAACAGCUCCCAGGGGCACAUCUCCUUCCCAAUUCUGCCAGUGUGGGCCCAUCCUAUCCUUUGAGCUUUGGUACUCAUCCAGCCUGGCCCCAAGCUGAUUCGUCUCACUAAACCAUCAGGAAACUAUCUUGUUUUAAUUGUGUUUUAUUCUGGCUGCAUUAAUCCUUUUAUAGGUUCCUGUGGUUGAGUUGGCUCACAGAGGGGCCAGACAAGCUCAGAAACUGGUGUAAGGAAAUCAGCAGUAGAGUAAGAAGGAGAGGGAAGGACAGGCCUGCCUCCUUUUGGCCUCCCAAAGCUAUUGGCUUGGUUAACCCCGUUUUGUGUAGCUUCACCCUGGUGCAUUUUCUUAUGGCUCCUAUGCAGGAGACUGGACUAGGGGAUCUUGGUCCGAUCCUCUGCAACAGUUCUUUUCCUUAAUACCAAAUCUGCUUUUCCACUGCAGCUUUCCAGCCUUUUGCUGUAUGCAUUUCUAUUGUUGCUUCUUUGUUUUAAUUUGUAUUAUUUUUCUUCCUCUACAUUUCCUCUAAGUGACCAGUCCUUUACUGUAUGGAACUUCUUCAGACUCCAGCUUAGACCUGUUUGCCUAUCCACGGUUGCUCUCGGAGAAGGUUUAAAAAAUACACAGCAAAGCCUGUCUUAGGAGACCAGUCAAGGAGCUGAUGAAAGUGGUUGCUUAGUGGAGGGGGCCUAAUAAAAUUGGUGUGGAAUUGUACUGUGCAUCUUUGGGACAGCUUCUGGGUGGUCUCUUUGGAUGAGUUCGCAUCCUGCCGGUGUGGUGUUGUGCGGGUUUCACUGUGUUGUCAAGUGAACUGAGAUGUGUUUGUUUCCCAGCCUCAUAGGGUGCGAUAGCCCCAGCAAGUGCUUCCCUAAGUAAUCGGCGCCUUCGGCCUUGCUCAUUGUGAUCUCACAAGCCAUCGCGUCUGUGAUGUCACAAUGGAAGAGAUUCUGAUGCUCUGACAUAGCUGACAUAUCUGAUGGUGCCUUUGACAUAUCAGCCAAGAAACGCAGCGGGAAGAAUGUGCUCAAGAAACGGGAGAGAUCUUCCUUAACCCAAGAGUGGUUUUCUAUCCUUUAGUCAGCCCUUUCCAUGUUCACUUACCUCUUGCAUAAUGGCCAUACAGAGGGAAGCUGAUGCCUAUAUAGAGUGAUUUUUUUUUUUUUUUAAUUGAGCUAUCAAGAUGCGCGUAUCUGUCAGAUGAGCGGUUGCCUGACUCUGCUCCUGUAACCUUCAUUCUUCUCUGCUGUUACCCUUACUUGUUGUAUUGCAUCUAAUUUUAGACUGUAAGUUCUUGAGAACAGGGACCUCUUCAUCUGUAGUGGGAAGAGGCUGGGUGCGAUUGCAGAGUGCUGUAAAAACAAAAUAAUUGAUGCCAAGUUGUAUCUGCGCUGAGUAAUGAUGGGACAGCAUAUAGGCAUCCCGUGGCAAUGCUUUGGGAAAGUCAUGUUACAAAUUUUCCAAGACACGGGCUUGGUUGUCUAGCAGUGCUGGAGACAAACCCAAUCCUAAAGUGAAAGGAUUGCAACCAUGAAAGUGUACAGGAUUCAUGUUCAAGGAAAGAUAUUAUGAAGUUAACAAAUUAAAGAAGCAAAUUUACCUGUCUAAAAUUAUUACAUUAUUAAAACAGUUCUAAAAGCUUUGUGUUUUGUUGUUUAUUUUACUUUAUGGUGGGGUUUUUUUCAACUUUGGAUGGUGACUGUGUAUAAGCUGGUUUUGUUUAUAGUCUCUUGUUUCCUGACUCGCAGGCUGGCCAGGUGCUGUCAUUUUUGGACUGUAGUUGAUCUAAUGAAAUAUUUGGAUUUAGGUUAAGGCUGAUUU